GUGGGGAAUUUUGGACAAUGGGUGCAAGCCUGAUCCAGCAAUGCCGCGUGCAGGAAGAAGGCCUUCGGGUUGUAAACUGCUUUUGUACGGAACGAAACGGUCCUGGCUAAUAUCCGGGGCUAAUGACGGUACCGUAAGAAUAAGCACCGGCUAACUACGUGCCAGCAGCCGCGGUAAUACGUAGGGUGCGAGCGUUAAUCGGAAUUACUGGGCGUAAAGCGUGCGCAGGCGGUGCUGUAAGACAGGCGUGAAAUCCCCGGGCUCAACCUGGGAAUUGCGCUUGUGACUGCAGUGCUGGAGUGCGGCAGAGGGGGAUGGAAUUCCGCGUGUAGCAGUGAAAUGCGUAGAUAUGCGGAGGAACACCGAUGGCGAAGGCAAUCCCCUGGGCCUGCACUGACGCUCAUGCACGAAAGCGUGGGGAGCAAACAGGAUUAGAAACCCCGGUAGUCC
rnacentral:rRNA from 1 species